UGGGGAAUAUUGCACAAUGGGCGCAAGCCUGAUGCAGCCAUGCCGCGUGUAUGAAGAAGGCCUUCGGGUUGUAAAGUACUCUCAGCGGGGAGGAAGGGAGUAAAGUUAAUACCUUUGCUCAUUGACGUUACCCGCAGAAGAAGCACCGGCUAACUCCGUGCCAGCAGCCGCGGUAAUACGGAGGGUGCAAGCGUUAAUCGGAAUUACUGGGCGUAAAGCGCACGCAGGCGGUUUGUUAAGUCAGAUGUGAAAUCCCCGGGCUCAACCUGGGAACUGCAUCUGAUACUGGCAAGCUUGAGUCUCGUAGAGGGGGGUAGAAUUCCAGGUGUAGCGGUGAAAUGCGUAGAGAUCUGGAGGAAUACCGGUGGCGAAGGCGGCCCCCUGGACAAAGACUGACGCUCAGAUGCGAAAGCGUGGGGAGCAAACAGG
rnacentral:rRNA from 1 species